CAGUCGCCGCGGGAAUACGAAGGGUGCAAGCGUUAAUCGGAAUUACUGGGCGUAAAGGGCGCGUAGGCGGCUGUUGCAGUCAGACGUGAAAUUCCUGGGCUCAACCUGGGGGCUGCGUUUGAUACGUGAUGGCUUGAGUUCGGAAGAGGGUCGUGGAAUUCCCAGUGUAGAGGUGAAAUUCGUAGAUAUUGGGAAGAACACCGGUGGCGAAGGCGGCGACCUGGUCCGAUACUGACGCUGAGGCGCGAAAGCGUGGGGAGCAAACAGGAUUAGAGACCCCGGUAGUCCCUGUCUCUUAUAC
rnacentral:rRNA from 1 species